rnacentral:misc_RNA from 1 species
GAGUGGUGUUUGGUUUGAUACGAGUGGUUGGCUCCCUGCUUGAGCAGGCACGACCACACGUACAUUCCUUUUCAGUUGUGCGGCAAGGCUUGUAUCGUCUUGAUCGUAUAUGUGGGUUUCCUGUGUUGCAUUCCUGAUCAAUGGCAUUGUUUUGAUAAAAACAUACCUUUUCCGUCUGGCAUUGUAAUGCAAUGUUAGGCGAACCAUGUAGCAUCCUCUUUGAUCCAUUUAGUCGAUGAUAUUCAUUGAUUGUUUGGCCUGUUGAGGGUGGCUUGGUCUCUCGGAUAUGGAAGCCAAAGUGGGCACGGGUUCGUAUGGUCCUUUUAUUGCCCUAGUUGAGCGUUCUCGCUUCUCUUGAACGAUUGUCUCUCACGUAUGGCACGUCCCAGCGUGUUUGGCAUUGUCGUAGAGGAAUGCUACCUGGUUGAUCCUGCCAGUAGUCAUAU